rnacentral:rRNA from 1 species
GAUGAACGCUGGCGGCGUGCCUAAUACAUGCAAGUCGAGCGAACAGACGAGGAGCUUGCUCCUCUGACGUUAGCGGCGGACGGGUGAGUAACACGUGGAUAACCUACCUAUAAGACUGGGAUAACUUCGGGAAACCGGAGCUAAUACCGGAUAAUAUAUUGAACCGCAUGGUUCAAUAGUGAAAGACGGUUUUGCUGUGACUUAUAGAUGGAUCCGCGCCGCAUUAGCUAGUUGGUAAGGUAACGGCUUACCAAGGCAACGAUGCGUAGCCGACCUGAGAGGGUGAUCGGCCACACUGGAACUGAGACACGGUACAGACUCCUACGGGAGGCAGCAGUAGGGAAUCUUACGCAAUGGGCGAGAGCCUGACGGAGCAACGCCGCGUGAGUGAUGAAGGUCUUCGGAUCGUAAAACUCUGUUAUUAGGGAAGAACAAAUGUGUAAGUAACUAUGCACGUCUUGACGGUACCUAAUCAGAAAGCCACGGCUAACUACGUG